AAACACAUUUUUCAUCACAGACUUCCUCAGGAACUUAGGAAUUCUUCCCCUCUGCUUGUUCAAUGUGAAAGGGUGAUCCCUUCAUUGUUAUGCUGAGCUUCAGCACUCUUGUGAUAAUAGGAGGUGUUAAAGUUGUCUGUGUGUUCUUACCCUAGUGGUUCUGUGCACUAUACAAUCUCCCCCAUGGUUAAGACUUGGAAAAGUUUAUUUUUUUAUGGUAAUUAUGUAAUAUCCUAUACAUUAUGAAUUUAACUGUGGAAAUAUAUUUAACAUAUUGUAUAGACUAAAUUUAUACAGAGAGAUCUAUAAAGCCAUCAUAUACAAGAAGAAUCAGACAUAUUAAAAGCAAGUCAAGUCUUAAAUUGGCUUUAUUUCAUAUGUUUAUUUUAGAUAAUCAUUAAAGUAUUGCAUUUUUUUUAGGAAUCAAGGUACAAAGUACAAUAAAUCUUUGACAAGCUGAUCUUUAAAACAUGCUAAAAAAUCACUACUGUGAUGUCACUAAAAGUGCCACAUCUAAGAGGCUUUUAUCUGAUUUCAGCCCUUUACUAAUGAUUUGAGAACAGAAGUGCAGUGAUUUUAGAUUUUUGUGUUUAGGGAAAAAAAAGGAAUAUAACCUGUAAUAGAGGUGCACUAAUAAAAGGCAGUUACUACAUGCAUUGCAAGAGACUUCUUUAGCACCAUCAAGCUGGGUCAGCAGCUGCUGAGUAAUACCUCAAGUAUAUGGCAUUUGCUGAAGUUUUUUUCUUCUUCUUUGUAUGGCAGAGCAAAGCAAUAGCUGACCAAGAAUUUAAUGAAGAAACACA